rnacentral:rRNA from 1 species
GACGAACGCUGGCGGCAUGCCUAAUACAUGCAAGUCGAGCGAACAUUUGUAGAGGUUUGCCUCUUUACGUUAUCGCGGGGCGUGGGAGAAACACAUGUAUACCCCCUCUCUUAGACUUGGGUAAAAUCCGGAGACAGCGGGGCAUACAGCAGAUUAUCAUGAUCCGCGCGGUUCCAUACUCUAAGACGCUGCUGCUGCUAUUAAUAGAUGAUUCCGCGCCGCAUUAGCUAGUUGGUAAGGUAACGGCUUACCAAGGCAACGAUGCGUAGCCGACCUGAGAGGGUGAUCGGCCACACUGGAACUGAGACACGGCCCAGACUCCUACGGGAGGCAGCAGUAGGGAAUCUUCCGCAAUGGGCGGAAGUUUGAUGGAGCAAUGCCGCGUGAGUGAUGAAGGUCUUCGGAUCGUAAAGCUCUGUUAUGAGGGAAGAACAAGUGUGGAAGUAACUGUGCGUAUCUUGACGGUACCUAAUUAGAAAGCCACGGCUAACUACGUG